UUUAACAUGGCAGCCUCCGCGGU
rnacentral:piRNA from 1 species